rnacentral:rRNA from 1 species
AUUGAACGCUGGCGGCAGGCCUAACACAUGCAAGUCGAACGAGUGGCGUACGGGUGAGUAAUGUCUGGGAAACUGCCUGAUGGAGGGGGAUAACUACUGGAAACGGUAGCUACUCCCGCAUACCAUCAGAUGUGCCCCGAUGGGAUUAGCUAGUAGGUGGGGUAACGGCUCACCUAGGGGACGAUCCCUAGCUGGUCUGAGAGGAUGACCAGCCACACGGGAACUGAGAAACGGUCCAGACUCCUACGGGAGGCAGCAGUGGGGAAUAUUGCACAAUGGGCGAAAGCCUGAUGCAGCCAUGCCGCGUGUAUGAAGAAGGCCUUCGGGUUGUAAAGUACUUUCAGCGGGGAGGCGUUACUCGCAGAAGAAGCACCGGCUAACUCCGUGCCAGCAGCCGCGGUAAGUC